AGUGUUUUAAUAAAUGUUGAUACCAACUGUUUUGGGGGAAGACAAAUUAUUUGUCGAAGCAACAGAGCCUUUAAAUCUACAAAGCUUUAUAAAAGCAGCCACGUUGGAAUUUAAAAUUUAUGCCCCAUGAAAUAUAACAGCCUUAGUUUUUGGUGUAACUAUAAAAGAAGACCAGUUUGAAAAAGUUAUUCAUCAAUAUAUAUCAACACCAACUUUUCAUAUUGAGUUGCAAUUUGGAGACUCCGUUCGAUCAGUGGCAUCAGCAUCGACAGUUAGUGGUACUUUAUCGGAGUGUGAAUCUGUAGGUGGUUCUGAGGAUUUUACUCCAAAAACAAAUGUAAUUUCAAUAUUAAAGACUGACAUACAGUCCAUAAAGUCAAUUCCGGCUAUCAACAAAAUAUGGAGAACUUUUAUUGAAGAAAAACGCCUGCAAAAUAAGGAUAGGGUGAAUAUUUCGAAGGCCAUUAUUGACGAAUGUCUAAAAGAAGACCCCAACAGAUUACUUAAACGUGAAGAUUUUGAAGUUCUGGCCGAAUCGAUUGUCCACAUUUUUUAUACCGAAUUAGCUUCUGCAUACUUCCUCCCCUCUGAGAAAGGCUGUAUUGCUAGAGGAAAGUUGUGGAGUGCGUACAAU